UACGUAGGUGGCAAGCGUUGUCCGGAUUUACUGGGCGUAAAGAGCGCGCAGGCGGUCGUUUCAAGUCGCGUGUGAAGGCCCCCGGCUCAACUGGGGGAGGGUCACGCGAUACUGAUCGACUCGAAGGCAGGAGAGGGUAGUGGAAUUCCCGGUGUAGUGGUGAAAUGCGUAGAUAUCGGGAGGAACACCGGUGGCGAAGGCGGGUCU
rnacentral:rRNA from 1 species